AAUAUUUUUAUAUGACAAAGAGAGAGAAUCUAGACCUGUGCAUAGAUUAUAAUAUCUUCUUUUCUUUCUCUGUUCAUUUCUUUCUUUUUUACUAUUUUGUUCUUUUUCUUGUUUUGUAUUUUGUGUAUGAGGAUGUGAUUGAGAGACUG
rnacentral:ribozyme from 1 species